CCAGGUGGGAGGGCUAGGCCCAGGCCCCGAGCUGGCCUACAACUGAGGAGCGGCCGGGAGGGGAAGCCUCGUUAGUACACCGCAUCUGCAUCGGGCAGGGCAGGCUCCAGGGGACGGGGAAGAUUUGCACCUUCCAGACCAGGGCUUCUCAACCAGGCAGCCUCCAGGUCCUUUUGAGGGUGCCAAAGGCCAGGUUUCCACUUCCAUGCCUCCUCUAUUUCCACAAUUCAAAGGAAGAAACAGCAGCUUCCACUGCUGUGAAGAUAAGUGGCAGGACGGAGGAAGGGGGCAGAUGAUGUGCUAUGGUGAACAGCUAUGCAAAUAACUAGCAAAACUCAGGUUCUGAUAAAUUUUUGUUAAGA